rnacentral:lncRNA from 1 species
UUUUUUUUUUUUUUUUUUUUUUUUAUUCCAGGUCUUUUCUGGUUAAUUAGUAAUGAACCAAGUAGCGCCUAAGCUCCCAUUAUGCCACUUUUCUUUUACACAUCUGUCUCUCUGGUGUCACAUAUCACUAUAAGCAAACAAACGUGAGAGGAUUUGGUUUGUACUAUUUUUCUGGUUUUGCUUCUUCUCGGGAAGAUAAAUUUUAUUUAAUUUUUCUAAUGGAUACUUAGAUACACUUCUUAUAUCUCACAUAAUUGCAUUUCAUAAUCAACUAUUGGAGCUCUAUCAACAUCCAAAAAUAACACUUCCCUUUCCUACCUAAAUUCAGAACCAAUUGAGAGAGAGAGGGAGAGUCAGACCAGAGGCCUCAAAGAAGGUGGAUUUAAGAACUUGACUUUAGAGCUGUGGUCAAAAAUACCCUCCAGCAUUUAGACCCUGAAUGAGGAAACUGGACCCAGCAAGUCCAAGGCAGAGCUGGAGAACUGCAGGCCUUCCCCAGGCCACCCCCACAGACCGAGUCUGCCCUGAAUUGCUCAUCCCCUUGGGAGAGGAAUGAGUCAGGGUGACCAGAACUGGGACUGACAUGUUCAAGGAAGUUUCUCCAUUUGGAAAACAGGAAGCCAAGAGAAAAGGAGAUUCCUCUGCAAUGGGAUACAGAAAGAAACCCGAUUUACCUUUGUCUCCUGCGAUAACAUUAACUCUCAUUCCCUUCAUUUUGGCCUUAUGUGUUUUAUUUUACGUAGAGAAUUGUCUUUUAAGUAACAACUUAGGUAACACUCUUGAAUAUAAUUAUUUGAAACUUUUCCUGCCUCACGUUUCUCAAAUUGAGGUCCUUUCACUCUCCCCUUAGAGAUCUAUCGUUGUUCUAUUGUAACUGCUACACAGGAAAAUCAAUUAGUAUUUUUACAGCAUGGCCUUUAAUAAUGUUUAUAUUUUAAUAUUUACAAAGUGCAUUUUCCUGAGUUGAUUUUAUCAGUGACUUUACUUCCAAAAUAAUUUCCUUUUAGGAAGAUAUCAGAACAGUACACGUAACUGUCCCCAAAUCGUAUCUGGAAUAAAAUCACUUGGGAACAUGAGUCAGAAAAGGUGUGUAACCAGCAUAGCUCUGGUACUGAAAUAGAUUUCCCAGGGCAGGCCAAAGAACAUGGUAGAUUAUUUAAAGAUUUCAAGACCUGGGACAUAGAUUUUAAGAAUGUCAAACAUAGGACAGGGAGGAGUCCACGGGGAUGUUUUUCUGCAUUGUGAUUUGUAUCACUAUCUGGCUUUUAAAUGACCUCCUGCAUACUCCUACCAAGAGAAAGAAAGAAGAGAGAGAAAGAGAGACACUCUCUUAUAACUGCUCUAAUAGGCAUCCUUAAAAUUGGAUACUUGGACUUCCUUCAACUUCUGUCUUUAAAAUACCCAUUGUUUAAGAGGCAAAUAGGAUGAGUUAAUCCAUUAUGAGAAAGUGAAUCCUUUGCUUCCGCCAGAUUUAGCUUCACUGUCAGCAGAUCUGUCAUUUUAUUCAAAGUUCUUGGCCUUACUGGCUAUCACCCCUCUCUCUCAUCUUUGGAAUGGCUUCAACAUCCCCUCUGUGUGGUCCAAUUGCCUCACCUAAAUUUGCAUUAGGCUGAUUCAUUCAUUCCCCAGCAGGGUUAUUUGAUGUGCUUUUCUGCUAAUGGCAUCCAUCGUGUAAAGCUGUCUGUAACCAGCUCUUAUCACAGUAGGAUUCAGAAUGGUCAUUUUGGAAAGACUGCAGGUCUUAAUAGAAGGUAGAGAAUUCAAUAAGAUGCACACAGAGAGAGUUUAAGAAUUGUUUUUAUAAGACUUGAAGUCCAUUUUGCUUAUAUUAAAAUGGUUUUCUGCAGA